GGCUCGAUCUGUGCUGGACUUCCCCAAAAGGGUCUGGCUGCAGACACAUGGGGAAAGUGGAGCUCCACUCCAGACCGGAAACACGUGACCUCCAACGAAGAUGUCAUCUCUACUUUUAUGUAGACCUAUGGGGCGACGAAACGAUUUAUUUUGACCGCAAUUAAAUGUUUAUUAAAUAAGAUUGUUUUUACGUUAUGGAAUUUGUUCGCACAUAUAAACACAGAGCAAAACGACCAUCUGGAAGACGGAGAAAACAUGGGUAAAGAAGCCCACGGAGUGAUUUAAUGAAGCUACGAGGAGAAAACACUGCAUUUUCACACACAGUGACUGAGUUAAACUUGUAAACACUUGGCCAGUAUAAGUCUUCCUGUAUGAGAACACAACACACUGCUGGGGCCACAAAACUGGUGGCUGAUGAGAUGCUCAUGAUUCAUAAAAUGGGUCAAAUGCAGAUGACAAAGAAAAGCAACACUGAGCAGGAGGUGCUGACCCAGACUCCUGCCUCUGUUUAGGUUUUCACUCUGCAGACAGAAAUUUCAACCAGUCAGACUUAAGGCCCAUUCUGCUCUUCCUCCUCCAGAACACGAGAGAUACAUCAGACUGAAUGAUCCAAGUACACUGGGUCAUGUCUCCACUGUCCAUGUCCAGACUCACAGAGGAGGAGGAGGUCCAGACUGCAGACCUGUGGGGCCUCUGGUUGCGUCAGGCCUUCCUCCUGCACAUUCUGUUUGCUGCUGUUCCUUAUGUGUCCUAAUAGUGAUGUGUCCAUAAAGUUUAGGUUUAACGUCUAAUUUCCUCCAGAAGUGAAACAGUAAAAUGGUGGUUUCUGUUCGUCUUAGCUGAGGAGCACCUAAACAGCUUUAUCACUGAGGAAGUGUCCCAUGAUAAAUGUGUCCUUAUAUGACCUUAACAAGUGUAUAAGACAAAACUAGAGUCAUAUAAGUUGCUCAUAAUAAGUUUUUCUGAAUGUUUUUCAGUCUGUACUGAUGUUUGAUUCAUGAUGAAAUGUGCCAUUUACUUUCUGUCUCUUUUGAAAGUAACUAAUUACAUGUACUAUAAGAAUGUACUGUUGUACUGCAGUUAAGCAGUGGUAUUCCACCUGAUCAUAUUUUGGAAUUUUUUUUUUCUGCUUCAGCAAAAUGGGAAGAACUCUUUGAGAGUACACUGACAUACAGCUAUGUGUACUCACCUAUUAAUGCAGUAUGUGUUUGUGUU